UACGUAGGGUGCAAGCGUUAAUCGGAAUUACUGGGCGUAAAGCGCGCGUAGGCGGCUUUGUAAGUUAGAGGUGAAAGCCCGGGGCUCAACCCCGGAACUGCCUUUAAGACUGCAUCGCUUGAAUCCGGGAGAGGUGAGUGGAAUUCCGAGUGUAGAGGUGAAAUUCGUAGAUAUUCGGAAGAACACCAGUGGCGAAGGCGGCUCACUGGACCGGCAUUGACGCUGAGGUGCGAAAGCGUGGGGAGCGAACAGG
rnacentral:rRNA from 1 species